AUGUUCCUUCUGCAGAGGAUUCUCAUCUUCCUGGCUAUUCCUCCUUGUCUGGCUCAAACAUCGAUCAGUCAAAGCCCCCCGCUCAUCGUUCGCAGUGCCAAUGUGGGGGCUGAACUGCACUGCGAACAGGUGACCACAAACCAUGACUACAUGUACUGGUACCACCAAGGAGCCAGCCGUGAGAUGAAGUAUAUUGCCUAUAGUUUCAAAGGACAGGAGCCCACCUAUGAUGACAUCUAUAAGAAUGAAUCAGUCUAUAAGAUGGGCAGCAAGAAAGGAAGCAAGCACAGCUAUCUGCAAAUCAAGUCACUGACAGCCCAGACUCAAGGAGUUUAUUACUGUGCAUCCAGUGCUGCACGGUGA